AUUGAACGCUGGCGGCAGGCCUAACACAUGCAAGUCGAACGAGUGGCGGACGGGUGAGUAAUGUCUGGGAACCUGCCUGAUGGAGGGGGAUAACUACUGGAAACGGUAGCUAAUACCGCAUACCAUCAGAUGUGCCCAAAUGGGAUUAGAUUGUAGGUGGGGUAAAGGCACACCAAGGCGACGAUCCCUAGCUGGUCUGAGAGGAUGACCAGCCAAAAUGGAACGGAGACACGGUACAGACUCCUACGGGAGGCAGCAGUGGGGAAUAUUGCACAAUGGGCGCAAGCCUGAUGCAGCCAUGCCGCGUGUAUGAAGAAGGCCUUCGGGUUGUAAAGUACUUUCAGCGGGGAGGCGUUACCCGCAGAAGAAGCACCGGCUAACUCCGUGCCAGCAGCCGCGGUAAUUC
rnacentral:rRNA from 1 species